rnacentral:tRNA from 1 species
GCGGGUGUGGUGGAAUUGGCAGACACGUAUGAUUCAGGUUCAUAUGCCCACAAGCAUGCAGGUUCAAGUCCUGUCACCCGCACCA